CCUACGGGAGGCAGCAGUAGGGAAUUUUCGGCAAUGGGGGGAACCCUGACCGAGCAACGCCGCGUUAACGAAGAAGUUAUUCGUAAUGUAAAGUUCUUUUACCAGGGAAGAAAGAGAAAUUUGACGGUACCUGAAGAAUAAGCUCCGGCUAACUACGUGCCAGCAGCCGCGGUAAUACGUAGGGAGCGAGCGUUAUCCGGAAUUAUUGGGUUUAAAGGGAGCGUAGAUGUGUUGUUAAGUCAGUGGUCAAAUUGCGGGGCUCAACCCCGUACUGCCGUUGAAACUGCAUCCCUUGAGUGCGCGAGAAGUAUGCGGAAUGCGUGGUGUAGCGGUGAAAUGCAUAGAUAUCACGCAGAACUCCGAUUGCGAAGGCAGCAUACCGGCGCGCAACUGACGCUCAUGCACGAAAGCGUGGGUAUCGAACAGGAUUAGAUACCCCAGUAGUC
rnacentral:rRNA from 1 species